rnacentral:lncRNA from 1 species
UCCCCUUGAAGGUGCUCAUUGUAUUUACCAUGAACCUGAGCUUAUAGAUCACUACAUGCAUGUGACACCCUGAUUUUUGGCCCUUUAUUUUUCUUUUGUUUUUCUGAGGUUUUUGCUUGAGUUUUCUUUUUCUGUGGCUUUGUGGUCUGGAAACUGUAGAAGAUGCCCUCUUCUUUGUUUCCAGAGUGGAUUGUCAUUCCCAAAUCCUUCCCUAGACCCUGUCAUUUUCAUCCUAGCCCAAAUCCCAAUAUUCUUUUUAUUGGGAAUAUUCCUUUUCUAUUAAAGGAAUAACUCAAAUUGCCCUAGGUUGUGAAGCAACCUUUAUUUCCAUCACUCCUAAAAUUCCCAAAUAAUUCUCAUAAAUUGUUUGGGUCAUUUCUUUCUCAAAUAUGGCAAAAUAUUUCAUUUGUCAUGUUUAUCAUCAUGCUCAAAUAAUUCAUUUCCUAUUCUGCCCUAAAUGGCACAUUGUGAAUCAAGUGCUAUUUUCCUUUUCCCAAUUGACCUCAAACUCCUUGGACACCUUUUCCUGUCCAUAUCAUUGCCACAUGACAAAAUGCAACCUCAUUUGCGUAGUAAUUAUUUAAUUAUGAUUUUCCAAAGUUUCUAUCCAGAAAGAAGCUUCGUGAAGGAGGUGCAAGCUAGGCAUAUCCAAAUGAGUUUCCAUUUUGCAUGAUCCCUCAGAUCAUCAUAUCAUAGCCCGCCACCAAAGUAGAGCUCAUGUCAUGCCUCCAUGUGAGCUCAUCUUCAAUUCUUUGAUUCUGUCCAAAAUUUCAGUUUGUGAAGCAAGUAUAUUUUAUAUUGCUCCAUUAUGGCUGCCAAUGUUUCUAGGCCUUCUAUUAUCCAUAUAACUUACCUCCACCCAUUUUGGGCAUGGUUCAUAAAGCCAUUAUUCCUCUAGAAUUUUUGCAAGUUUCUGUCCAGAAUGAAGCUUUGUGAAGCAAGUGCCACUUUGGUAUUUCCAAAUGGCAUGAAACUUUUACAGCAGCUUCAUACCACCAAAUAACCCUGCCAUGUUCAUUUUCAGCUCAAUCCAUCACUCUAUGUGAGUGUUUCUUCCUGAUCUUGUUUCUGGACCAAUUUAUGCAGUUGUUAAGCAACUGUAAUAAUCAUUGAGCCAAACCCCUCCAUAAUUACCAGGACUAUAGUACUUCCUAACGUAAAUCUACUAGACAACUCGUUUGCCUCUAAUCUCACCUCAGUUGAUCACUCUUUCAUGAUCAAGUUUACUGCAGUAAACUUCAGAGGGUGAUUACCAUUUAACCAGAGCGAUUUUAACCAAACUACCACCGCAGUAAGAACCUCCGUGGAUGAACUUGCCACUCGACAACGCGCUCCAGCUCAUUUCCCCCGCUACAUGCCAGUGCACGCGGUGACCGCGUUAAUUGCAAGCCUAUGCGCGCGCUCUACUGCUGUUGGCUGCGCCCAGGAUGGAUUCUUGCUCGGGCCCCUCCUCCUCUCGUCGCCUCCGUGCGCGUGACCGUGUCCAACAUCUUCCUCUCGUCGUCGCUGUUCCCCUGGACCCCUCUCCCCCUCCGGCAACUUGCUCACCGACGCAAACCGCCAUGUGCCCACGGGCGCACAGUGGUCGUUUGGAUCUGUGUGUGCCCUGGCCGCUUCCUCCCCGUGCUCUGGCGUUGCCUCUGCCCUGUGAGGACCUCAACUGUGUCUCCCUCGUCGCCUGCCCCCGAGUUCAUGGGCGCGCACAUGCGUCCGCGGCGCCGGCCACGCGUUCGCGGCGACGCCAGCUCGCCUCCUCCUCCCUUGCCUAUAUAAGGCUGCCCUGAGCGCGUUUCUCCUCACUAAUCGACCUCAUGCACUCCUCUUCCCCUCCCCGUCCACUUCCCAGAGUCCCGGAGUUCCUCCUCACCACCCAUUGCCGCCUCAGCCAUCGCUGGUUGCCGGCUACAUUGGCACAAGCCCAAGCCCCUCCCUCUCUUCCUCCACCACCUCGGCCCUCCCCUAGUACUCUAUAGCCACUCCCGCGCUUCCGUUCCCUACCCGGUGGCUCUGUUCUUCGAGUUCGCCGGAGCCCGAAGGCCUCGUCCGCCGGCGCCCGUGUUGCCAUCGCCCUGGUCCACCCCGCCGUCCGUGGAUGGGCCCUGGACAUGCGCCGGAGUCCGCUGAGCCCGUCCAUGUGUGGAGCCUCGCCGGAGAUGCCCUGUAGCUCCGGCAGGCCUCGUCGGGGCCGGCUCUGCCUCGGCCAGGCGCGGGCGCGAGCGAGGAGAAGAAGGACACGACAACCCCCCUGCCAGCUGGCCUCGGGCCCUGCGUGUCAGCCCCUCAACCGUUGAUCCCGCCGUCCACGUCAGAUAGGUGGAAACACGUUUCAUCUAAAUAUGUUUCCUUUUAGUGAAAGCGUAUUUCUGUCUUAGUUCGGUAGCAAAUGUGUUUUCUUUAUGAGGAAGCGUAUCCUAGGACUUAUAUUUUGAUGAUUAUGUGGAUGACAUGUGCCUUUGGAUUCUUGGUGGCUAUUAUGAUUAUUUCCAUGAUGGUAUCUGUUAUUAUAUUUUGGAGUAUUACUUUGGAUAUCAUGCUGUCUUUGGAUUAUUAGUGGUCAGUAUGAUUAUUUUCAUGGUGCUAGUUGAUGUUUUGUUGCUUGGAGUAUUAUUUUCGGAGAUGAUGUUUACAUGUGGAUCUUAGCCGAAUAGCUUUAUUCUUGUUAUUGGAGUAGUAGGAUUAUGGUUUUCGGAUUCAUCAUGACAGUAGUGUUGUGCUACUCUUGGAGUAUUUUGAGAUGAUGAUAUUAUGCUUGGAUUAUUUGUUGGAUAUUGCUUUGACUUGGAUUCUAGGUUGAUAGAUGAUAUCGGAGUAUCAGUCAUUCCAGUUAUAUUUUUGGGGAUAAAUUCCGUCAUUAAGUUGGUCAGGUGCCACCGAACCAGACUUUCUCCAGUGCAACCACAUUUGCCUUUAUGGGAAGGCCCUAAUGCGAUGUUAUUGUCAUGCCUCUCGCCGGUGCCUCUAACGAGGGAAGGUUAUGGUUGUGCGGUACCCUGGCCCGGUAAGCAGACAUAACCUUGUGUGCCCGUAGUUGGUAUUGAGAGCUCUUGUCCCCGUUUGGGACGGUUUAUUGUUUUGGCCACGACGGUGGCCGUUGUGUCUUUGGUAGACACGGGGCCACCCAGGACUAGCCCAGUGGGGAGUGAGUCGGAGUGGCCGGGAGAGUGUCAUGGCAGUAGAUCGGUUUUGUCGGAACACCGUUGGUCCACCCGAAUUGGAAUGCGAAGCCAUGGGUUCCGUUGUGUGGGUAAAGUGCGCUACCUCUGCAGAGUGUGUUCAAUCUAUCAAUAGCCGCGUCCUCGGUCAUGGGCAUGGGUUCGUACUAGGUCACACCGUUCGAUCAACACUCACAUGAUGGAAUGACUUAUAGGUGAUAUAUUUAUAUGUUGAUAUUUGAGCAGUACAGAUUGGCAGGAUGUUGAUGAUGAUGUUGGAGACCCAGUGUUGGUCAUGGUAGUGAUCGCCGGAAAGAUCACAGUUUGAGACCAAGUGUUGGUCAUGGUAGUGAUCGCCGGAAAGAUCACCGUUUGGUUUUGAUCACGAGGUGAUCAAGAUGGUAUAUUGCUUGGCCGGUUAGCCAUGAGAGAUAUGGUUAUGGAAAUCUAAGAUGGUGAUUUAUUAGUAUUGUAUUAGUUUCAUACCAUGCUUAGUAGUUGCAUCAUCGUGGUAGUUGUUAAUUAAUUAACCUGUUAAUGCUAUGUUACUGUCUUGCCUUGAUGUUUAUGGUAUGUGAGCUUGCAAGUACAUUCAAUGUACUGACCUGGCGUGUCAUGCCAGAUUGCAGGUGAUGCCAUGAUUUCUUGCUUGCUUGUCGAGGUUGCCGUUCGUGCGAGCUAGAUCGUGUCCCAGCCAGAGUCCCUGCAGAGUGGAGUUCACCACCUUCGUCGUUGUUCCGCUGCUAGAAGUAUUCCGCUGCUACGAGUUGUUUCACUGCUAGCAUAGAGCAAGUGUAUUAUCGCAGGCGUAGUGUCGCCGUGCUGAUGUGCUUCUUUGUAACAUCAGACCCUUGUAUUAUUAUUCUUGUAAUAAGAGCUGAUUUUUUCUAUGUCAAGCAGUGACGUAUUCCAGAGACUUCUCCUCGAUCUCUAGGCUAGAAUACGGGGCGUUCCGGUUUCUCUGAGCCGGGGUGCCACAGGCUUGGUAUGAGAGCAGGUCUGGCUGUAGGAUGCCCUAGCCCGCGCGAACGUUAGAAAGCGGUAGUAUAGACCCCAGUUGGUUUGUUGCACUUGAUUGUUGCAUUUGUUUGUCGCAUACCAUGUAUAUAGAUUAUUAUUUUGUCACUAACGGUUAAUCUUGUGAGUGUAGGUGGCAUCGUUUUCGGUCCACCGCCUGCACCCUCCUUCUUAGCAUGUCUGCUCUUUGGUGUUCGGUGUCAUCUCUGUCCCAGCAGAGUGAUGCCCCGGUACCCAGAGUUCCAAACACCAUUUGCAGGAGUUAUGCUCAGGUAUCGCGUAUAUUUUUCCACCACCCACCCAUAUUAUUUCGGUGAUAGACUUGUUUCUAUCCCGAAUCAUGCCAUCCAUCUCGUCCCUCUGGCAACCCUUACUGAUCUUGGUUAUCAGAAAAUGGCAAUGCCAGCAAGCCUUGUUUUUCCACUGCUACCCUACCCAGUCAUUCCAUUCUUUGGACGUGUACGAAUACCUUCCGUACGCUUGAUGAUGAUGUGGUCGUGACUUUUGUGUCUCGCUACUUGAUCGUUAAGUCCGUCCUCACCUAUGUAUCCAUCCAGAUACAUCCACUGUUCAGCCGGUGCUUGGUGUAUCUUCGGUUACGCCAACUCUUUCCACACAUGGAUAUAAUUUUCGUGCACACUGCCACAACAUAUUAGACCGUAAUACCGGAGUUUCCGCGCGAUUUGUGUGCUUAGGUGUGCAUGCAUAUUAUGGUGUGAGUAGCAGUAAUAUGGGAUGAUUGCUUGAUUAAUUAUAUUAGUAGAAUGCUUGUGUGCUUUUGUUUUAGUAGUUUCUUUUGUUUCUUUCUUUGGGCCUCUAGUGUUACAAAUUUUCCCCCUAUUAAAGUUGCUCGUCAGCCGACACGGACCCGAAGAGUCAGCAAGAAAUACAUAUAUUUGGAAACUCAGCUAAACGGAAUGGAGUUUUCAGCAGACUGCAGUGAAAUUGGAAAUAGCUCGUCUGAAUACAAAAGAAAUCCUGGAUGGAAUGUCAGUACAAAGUUUGCAUUAACGUGCACUCCUCACAACAGUAUGGAAUUCUCAGUCGACUGCAUUCAGAUUGGGGGAUAUCUGAUCAUGUUACUGAGUGUGAAGUCUCUCUCAGCGUGCACUUCUCAUAGCAGAAAUGAUCAAAUCAGCAAGAAGAUAAAAUUGUGUGCAAGGUUGACAGAAUAUUAUCAAAGGUAUGGCUCAGAUACAAGUUUAAUUUUUUGUUGAGGAUGAUUUUGGAACCCGAUGUACCUGGAAGCAAGCAAAAAUAUGGCAUGUACUCAGAAAGGAGGAUAGACCUGCAAAACCCCGUUUCAUACAAGAAAUCAAUAACAAAAAUAUUAAGAUGGUUACAUAUGUGGAAAACGGUCCGCAUAUCACAAUAAGAAGCUUCUGGUGUAAGCAACCCAAUCUUCCCUCGCAAGAUACCCGAGAAGCUUCCAAGGCAAGAUUAAUCUAUCUUCCUCAGUACGAUACAUGGAUGAUUUCCCGUACAAGGUACUCUGCCUUCUUCAGUAAGCAAUCGCAAAAGCUUCCGGCAUAAGGUACUGAGUCUUUCCCCAGCAAAGUCUUUAAGGGGGUAAGCGUCGGAAGCAUGAUACCCAUUCUUCUUCAGCAAGCUGUUCGAUGAAAGUUUCGAGCACAAGCCAGCCAAUCUUCCUCAGUAAGACAUUGGUACAAGGUAGUACGCCGUGAAUUGACAGCAUAUGGCAGUGAAUCCCAAGAAUCAGAUCCGCAACAUUUUGGUCAGAAGCAAGAAUCAGUCAGAAUACACGUCUGUCUCGGGAACCAGAUUCUCAUAUAUAUAUAUAUGCGGAGAGCAUACCACCAAGAUCUUACAAGUCACUCGGAUGAGGAUCUGACAACCACGUGAGGAUGGUUAAGAGAAGAAAGCCAGUAUACACCGCAGUGUGACAAAGGAUUAUGAGGAUUGACGACAUCAAUGAGCUCAAUACAAGUAACUGUGAACCUGGAAAAUGAUCCUGAUGAGCCCUUGUCCCCUUUUGCUCCAAUGACGGCACCACGCCUGUGAUCUAAGCUGUUUUUAGCUAUCCGGGGUGGAUGCCGAUUUUUAUUUCUCUCUUCAACGACUGUCACGAGUUCUGAGCUGCUUUUCGGCCGUCACGUACAGUUGUUGAGUUUCUUUUUGUGACAGUAGCCCUAUAGCUGCUUUUUGGCUAUUUUAGGGAGCUGCCACCUUCUUCUUAUCAACCCGGUCUCAUGUUCUGGGCUGCUUUUCAGCCAUCCUUAGUCGUGGUUAAGUUAUUUCAGUAAUGUCCCAGAUCUGAGUUGUAAAGACCGUUUUGGUGGUUACUGAUUUAUUUGCCGAUUUCUUGCAAAGGUUCGAGUGAUCAUUCUCCUGCGGUCAGAACUUGAGGGGUGUUGAACCUGCCAUUUAAUGGGGUACCCUGUCACAAAAAUGAGGAUAAGCUACGAUUGCCAAAAAAUUGCACCGACAGUACCUAUGGUGAUACAAAGAAGCAAUAUGACCCAGCUCUUUCAGCCAAGAAUCCAGACCAAGAAAACAAUAAUGAAGGAGAAAGACCAGUGAUGCAGGUAUGAAAAUUGUUGCAAGACCCGCGUGGUGCAGAACCACCGAUAGUCAAGUCUGCAGAUAUUAUCAUACAGGUCAAACUCUUAUGCUAGCCACGACAGGCGACAAUCAAAUAUUUGGUAUGAAUCUGAAACUCAAGACAGUGGAGCUAGCCAAAAUAAUUCAGAAAUUCUCGCGAUAAGUCAGAAUCUGUCAGGAAAAUGGUUAUGCCUCCACUCACUGUUUGGAACCCGAAGGAAUUGCAUUUAGUGAAGAAACCCAAUGCAAGGAGUUAGAGCUUGGGUGUCCACCAGAAAAAUCUAAUCACCACUUUAUGAAAGAUUGUCAGUGCCGGAUGACACACCCAGCGGAAAUCACUCUCGGAUUUGUGAGACGGGCAUAUAUUUCAGCAUGAUAACAAAUCACACUUAGCUAAGUCAGCGGAUCUUAAAAGAAAUGGGAGCCUAUAUAAACAUGAACCAGCAAGGUAAGAUCUGUCAGAAUAUGGAUAUAUUAAAGCAAACCCCCCAGGGCCAGUCAUAUAAAAAUUUAGUGGGAACAAAAAUAAGAAAAAGGAUACCUGAGUUGGAAACGGUUUCCUUAAGUCAGUAUCUUCAUACUUGUUCCCUGAGCAACCAAAUCUCGAGGACGAGAUUUCUUUAAGGGGGUAAGGUUUGUGAUAGCCUGAUUUUUGGCCCUUUCUUUUUCUUUUGUUCUUUUGAGCUUUUUGCUUGAGUUUUCUUUUUCCGUGGCUUUGUGGUCUGGAAACUGAAGAAGAUGCCCUCUUCUUUGUUUCCAAAGUGGCUUGUCAUUCCCGAAUCCUUCCCUAGACCUUGUCAUUCUCAUCCUAGCCCAAAUCCCAAUAUUCUUUUUAUUGGGAAUAUUCCUUUUCUAUUGAAGGAAUAACUGAAAUUGCCCUAGGUUGUGAAGCAACCCUUAUUUCCAUCACUCCUAAAAUUCCCAAAUAAUUCUCAUAAAUUGUUUGGGUCAUAUCUUUCUCAAAUAUGGCAAAAUAUUUCAUUUGUCAUGUUUAUCAUCAUGCUCAAAUAAUUCAUUUCCAAUUCUGCCCUAAAUGGCACAUUGUGAAUCAAGUGCUAUUUUCCUUUUCGCAAUUGACCUCAAACUCCUUGGACACCUUUUUUCUGUCCCUAUCAUUGCCACAUGCCAAAAUGCAACCUCAUUUGCCUAGUAAUUAUUUAAUUAUGAUUUUCCAAAGUUUCUAUCCAGAAAGAAGCUUUGUGAAGGAGGUGCAAGCUAGGCCUAUCCAAAUGAGUUUCCAUUUUGUAUGAUCCCUCAUAUUAUCAUAUCAUAGCCCUCCACCAAAGUAGAGCUCAUGUAAUCCCUCCAUGUGAUCUCAUCUUCAAUUCUUUGAUUCUGUCCAAAAUUUCAGUUUGUGAAGCAAGUAUAUUUUAUAUUGCUCCAUUAUGGCUGCCAAUUUUUCUAGGCCUUCUAUUAUCCAUAUAACUUAC